AAGCAUGAAAGGAGGAAUGGGCGGCUGUAUUAAAUCGCGUGGUCAGAGGAACUCGCACCAGGACAGUUGAGCCACCAGCAGAAUGAGAGAGGGAGUUGACCAUGCUGGUAUUAGGGACGAUCAAGAUCUCUCCAGGUAUGGCUUUAUUGGCACCAACAUUAUUUCCCCAUGUGUUCUACUCCCUCAAAAACAAACAGAAGCCAUCCUGCGUAGUAGUGGAAUGAACAGACCCGGCUUUAAUGUCAGGCUCUGCCUGACUAGCUGGGUGGCCUCAAGCAAGUCAUCUAUAGAAUGGGGAUACCUCCACCUACUCUACAGGUUUUAUCCAUCACUAGUGGCAACUCCAUAACCAGAAGAUGAGGCCUUAUUGUCUUUAAAAGGGCGAGGGGAAAUUAGUGUUGAUGAUUUUUCCCAAAGUGCCAGUCACCUUCCAUCUUUGCCUCCCUCACAUCUUUGACUCCUCUACAGGACUCACUCAAACACCACACUUUUCCCUUUCCCUUCCUCCCACCCUCCCUCCCUUCUCUCUAUAAACGCCAUGCUUUCUUCUUUUUCUUUUCUUUCCUUCCAUUCUGCUGGACCAUCCUAUUCCAAGAUGGGAUGCAUUCCCAACAGCCACAGUCCCAAGCUCCAAGUUUCUCACUUAGGUUUACCACCCUAGAAACUUUCUAAUGGAAAAUCGGGGGGGAAACAGAGGGCUCUCCAAUAAAUUUAAGUUGAAGCAUAUUCGUGGAGAGAAGCAUAUUCAGACUUUUAGCAACUAUAAAGUUUACUCUCCUCUGUACAGAUUGUAGUUUUAGACCGUGAGUCAAGUAGGAAUGGUACUAAAGCAAAGCUAACUGAAAUAUGCAUAAAUCCAUAAUCCCUUGCCAUAAUUAUGACACAAUAUUCUAAUCGUGUACCAAGUAGUAUAAUAAGUGAUCUCACCCAGCCAAAUGUUCCAACUUGUAAAACUAAGGGACAACUAUAACGAAUGGAACAGUUUGUUCUUUGCCCGUCGGUGGUUGGACACCAUCCACAGUGAGGAAAUUCAUGAACAGCUCAGCCAGUGGAAUCAAGCCGAUAUGCAAAGUGUGCAACCUCAAAGACUGGGAGAGGUGAACCUGCCUAUUCCAGUACCUUUAGAUGGAACUUAAAUCAUUCAAGAGACUCAUUAAACACCUCCAGAAUUUCUAUAAUAGUACCUAAUAAUCCUUAUCUUGAUAUGUAAACUCUAUUCUUUUAAGCAUUUGUUCAUCAUUUAUGAAUAGUCACAGUGCCAAGCCUAAUGCAGUGAUGUCUACAAUUCAGAAUUUAACCUGCACCCAACACAGAUGAAGUACAUAGGGGAUUGGGAUAAUACAUAAACUUUUAAGACACAAUUUGCUUUUUCAGAAGUCGUUUCAAAUUUCACCUUCCAGCUUUGGGAAAUAGAUGUAACUGGCCAUAUUUUUUAUUUACUUUCUGACAAGGACUGGUCUAAGUUACACAUUAACUACCUUCAUUUAACUAGAUUAGGUACAGAUAUCUUUCAAAUAAGCAAAAUGAGACACAGGAAGGCUAAGUAAUUUGCCCAAGGUCACACAUAAGCACAGUAAUUGCUGGAGGGCAAAGCAAGACCACUUGCAGGAAAGAGCAAGGAGGCUCUUUGGCAGUAACUAAAGAUGUUUUGGGAACACCCUUCCACAGUGUGUGUGCGAGUGCACCGCCGCACCCCCCUCCCCCCCCCCCCCGCCCCCGCGUUCUGUGUGCAUGUUCUUUUUCUAACUCCAAAGUGGCAUUAAUUUUAACAGUGUUUUCCAAAAACUACACGAUACUUGGACAUUUUAUUCAUGAAAACUAGUCCCUUUAGGUCACAUUGGUUCUCAACCUGUGGGUCACAACCCCUUUGGCAGUCGAACGACCCUUUCACAGGGGUCGCCUAAGACCAUCCUGCAUAUCAGAUAUUUAUGAUUCAUAACAGUAGCAACAUUACAGUUAUGAGGUAGCAACGAAAAUAAUUUUAUGGUUGGGUCACAACAUGAGGAACUGUAUUUAAAGGGCCAGAAGGUUGAGAACCACUGCUUUAGGAGAAAUGUUAACAAUAUGAAACACAGGAGGGAUGAGAUCACCUUCCAUCUAAUGUAUUUGUGCUUUCAUACAAGAAGAGUUAUAUGGUGAAUGUAAGCAGAACCAUGAGCUGCCAGGAGAUUGAGUUUGAAUUCUUAUUUCUAUGGCUGAGCUUUUAAAAUGUCCAGUUGAGAUACUUCCAAUCCCAAUGCUGAAAAAGGACAAGUGUGUUUAUGUUAGGGAACUCCCCCACCCGCUCCCCAGCCAACUGAAUCUAAGAUCCCUGGAACCAUGACUAAAGAAUUCUUCUGCCCUGACCCUUUAUACAUGCAUGCCCCCCAUUCAGGUCGUUAUAGAAACCUCAGAUAUUUAUAUGAAAACAUUUCACAUUAUUGUAAGUACUUAAAAUGCACUCAAAAUUAAAAAGGACAGAGCAACUCUACCUUAUCCAACCCAUUAAUUCAUUAAGAAAAUCAAGCUAAAGUGGCUGGGAGUAUAGAACCUCAUAAUCAAAGAUACCUAGUUUAGUCACUUGAUAGAAUGUGACAAUGGACCAGUGAAUCCAUCAGAUCAUUACUUUACUGUAAAAUGAGAAAUGGUUGCAAGUCGAUAGAACUGUUGUAAGAAAUUAAAUAUUCUGUGUAUGUGUGCGUGUAUACAGAAUGUAACUUUUACUAUAAAUACUAAGAGUUAAAUUUAUUUCAAAAAAUACAAAGCAUAUGUGACAAAACUAACACCUUUUAUUUCUGGGUGGUAGGUACAGGUAUGUUUAUAGUUUUCAAUAUUUCUUUAAAUUUUUCAAAAUAAAUAAAAAUGUUGAUGUCAUCUAGUUUUAAUACAAAACACACAUGUAAGAAAAUCUUAUGCAGUGAACCUUUAUCAAAUAGACCACAUGCUUUCACAACAAGACCUUGAACAAGUAUAUGCAGACAUAAGAACCACAGGUCAGAGAUGGAAGAGACCUCAGAAAUCAAAUCUAAACCUCUUGCUUUCCAGACUAGGAAACUGCUUGAGUGGCUUUUCAGUUCUAGCCAGCUAGUUAAUGUCAAUCCCAUCAGAAACGCCCUGAUCCUGGCUCCUGAAGUGGUCUGUAGUAAGUACCACAUUUGCAAAAUGAUUUUGUUUUUGUAUUUCAAAGUCCAAUUUUAUGGCACAAUUUUACAACGCAGACUUAUGCUAUUUGAUUUUCUGUAUUCAGCUGAAUUGGUUUUGUCAGAACACUGGCAAGCUUGCCUUCAUAAACUAAUUACAUUGACUUCCAAGCACAAAGUUAAAAUUUUAGCACACGUAAAAAUCAGCUAAGUGGCUCAAGAGAGUCCUUACCAUUUGAUGUGAGCCCAACAGGUAUGAAAAGCAUAGACUAUUAUCUUUACUCAUAUAUGUAAAACACCUGGGAAAUUAAGAAUUUCCUCAAUUUUGAAGAAAUGAAUCAGUGUUAUAAUGGAAACAUUACUUAAAAGUUUAUCUUUGGGCUCUGGCGGGCGAGUCGGUUAGAGCGUUGUCCCAAUAUGUGAAGGUUAUGGGUUUGACCCAGGUCAGGGCACAAAGAAGAAGCAACCAAUGAAUGCAUGAAUGGAUGGAGCAACGAGUUGAUGUGUCUCUCUCUCUAAAAAUCAAUAAUAAACAAAAGUUUAUCUUUGGAAAAUGAUUCAGACUGGUAUAUAAAAAAUGACAUACUUGUAGAUGAAAAAGGGGCUCUGUAAUAAACCUGAAAAGUCCAAGGCUGAUCAUAAAUUCCUGUGCUGAUUGUGGUGGCAUGUAACUUCUUCAGUAAAAGGUUUAUCUUUGCCUUACGUAAGCCCUGUCCAUUUUCUUGUGCUUCUAGGUUAACACACCUUUGAAAUACCAGGGUCUUCCUCUUUUUCAGACUCCUCUGAGGCAUAACCACCUUCAAGAGAGCACAUCAUUUUUCUUGUGAUACAAUCCCUACCUUGCUUUCUCCGACCUUCGUGUAAGCUUCCUUAUUUCCAAAUA